rnacentral:sRNA from 1 species
GCACAUUGAACUUCUUGGCAACUGCUAGCGUCAAAUCGGCGUCAGUGUAUGCUUCAGCUUGUUCAAUGGAGA